UCUGAACGCUGGCGGCGUGGCUAAGACAUGCAAGUCGCACGGGGUGUAGCAAUACAUCCAGUGGCGGACGGGUGAGUAAUGAAUCGCUAAUGUACCCCGAUGUCUGGGAUAGCCAGUCGAAAGAUUGGGUAAUACCAGAUGAGACCACAGGUAGGCAUCUACCAGUGCUCAAAGGGGUCACCGCAUUGGGGAGCAGGCGAUUUCGUAUCAGCUAGUUGGUGAGGUACGCUCACCAAGGCGACGACGCGUAGCCGGGCUGAGAGGUCGGCCGGCCACAUUGGGACUGAGACACUG
rnacentral:rRNA from 1 species